AUUGAACGCUGGCGGCAGGCCUAACACAUGCAAGUCGAACGAGUGGCGGACGGGUGAGUAAUGUCUGGGAAACUGCCUGAUGGAGGGGGAUAACUACUGGAAACGGUAGCUAAUACCGCAUACCAUCGGAUGUGCCCAGAUGGGAUUAGCUAGUAGGUGGGGUAACGGCUCACCUAGGCGACGAUCCCUAGCUGGUCUGAGAGGAUGACCGCCCACAUGGUAACGGAGCCACGGUCCAGACUCUUACGGGAGCCAGCAGUGGGGAUUAUUGCACAAUGGGCGCAAGCCUGAUGCAGCCAUGCCGCGUGUAUGAAGAAGGCCUUCGGGUUGGAAAGUACUUUCAGCGGGGAGGCGUAACCCGCAGAAGAAGCACCGGCUAACUCCGUGCCAGCAGCCGCGGUAAAC
rnacentral:rRNA from 1 species